CUGGCGGCUGGGCGGCCGGUUCAGCUCCCGCCGCUCUCCCCAUCGCUGUGCUGUAACAGGUGCCGGCGCCCCCCGCGGAGCAGCGGGCCCGAGGAGGCGCCGAUGGGGAAAUGCCCCCCCUCGUUACGCGCCCAGAGCCGAGGGGGGGGGGCGGCGGGGACUAACCCACCCCACCGCCCUCCGCGGCCUUUCCUCAGCGGCGGCCCGCCCGGCCCCGGUACCUUGUUGAGAUGCGGGUUGCGGGUCACCUCGUAGCCCCGCUUCAUGAUACAGCAUCCAGAACUCCAAAUGAGCCAAAGAGCAUUUUGGGUGCAAAAUGCAUUCAGGGAUUGGACCAGAAAAUAAUUUUUUUCUAGCUACAUAAGUAAUGAAAGGAUUUCCUGGUCUGAUAACAAUUGUGAGAGAUUUAAUCCCAGAAGAUAAUUUUGAAGAAAGUUAUAAAUCAUGUAGAAUAAGAUGGGUCCCAAAUAAGGAAGCUAGCCUUCAUCUCACUUUGUUUCUCUCCCAUCAAGAGGCUGAAGGAUCUGGGCAGCCAGUUCUAAGAGAUGGUUCUGAUAGGGAUUUGAAGAACACAGUUGUAUGUUGGGAGAUGAAGUUAUUAGUUCAUAAAAGUGAAAUAGGAACAGCAACAUUUGAGAAGAGACUUUCUGAAGAUAUCUCAAAACAGAAUAAGUUGACCAGAGUCAAUAAACUGAGAAUAAAUAGCUAUGCCAUUCAAAUGGGCAGCAACUCUUUAUGAAGAGGUAGGGCCCAUCUGCCUGUGACGACCCUAGGAAGGCCUCACCUGGAUGAUAAUGGACUGCCCCAAGUGGCUGAUUAGUACCUAAUAAAGGACCUCAUAAAGGUUACAGAAGCUCAGUUAGACAAACUCUAAAAGGGGAUAGGAGGCUCCUGUGAAAGGGAGCUCUCAAGAGAUGCCUGAGCCAGCAGGCUGAAUAGGGAGUCUUGAAGGCAAGCUCUCUGGGAAACCUACCAGGGUGGAGAGCUUGUAAGAGGAGCUCCUAGAGAGGGGAGCCUCCUAAACACACCUCUUCCAAGACAUUGGCUUGGCAAUGAUCACCCACUAUCCCUGGAGAAGAAUCGCAGUAGACAGACCUCCCUGGAUGCCAGAGAAGAAUGUUUCUUCAGUAGGGGUAAGAAGCCUAACACGAGGGAGAGAAACUGGAACUAAGAGAACCCUGGAGGAAGAACCUGGGUAGAGACGAACAGUGGAUCCAAGUAGGGGACACGGAUUAAGAAUGACCUAGUCACCCUGCUGGGAUGUUGGGGUAAGAGUUUUUUUUAUUUUCUGAGUUGACUUUUCCUCUAAUAAAUGAAAU